GGCUCCGGUGGCCUAGUGGUUAGAGCGUUCACCUCUGAUGCGAGAGGUCGAGGGUUGGAACGGCGGCCGAGUCA